rnacentral:lncRNA from 1 species
GAGCGAGCCGCGAACCGGGCGGGCGGCGGGCGCGCGCACCAUGGGGGAGAAACCGGGGACCAGGUAAGAGAGGUGGGGCUACGCGGCGGGACUUACAGAGGGAGGACAGGAUAAUGGUUUAGUGAUGGGAGCAUCGACUGGGAGCCAGCCUGCCUCUGCUCGUACCUGAAUUCCACCGUUUAUAUUCUCUGUGACCUUAGGCAAAAUACUCGACCUCUCCUACGCCUCAGUUUCCUCACCUGUGAAACAGGAACAUUAGGACCGCCGUCAUGGGGUUGCUAAGAGUACUGAAUGAGAUAACACAACACGAGACACUUUGCCACAGUGCUGGGCGUGGACCAUCCCUCCAAUAAGUGUUAGCCAGCAUCGUCAUCUUUGUCUUAUGGCUGCCAUUGUGCUGGGUUUGCCGAAACCAGUAAGGCCUCAGCUGCUCACAGUCUGUCUAGGGAGACAUGAUACACAGCUCACUGCCCUCACACGCUAUCCCACCACGGGUGAAGCCUCAACAAGGUGUGACAGCAAUCCCCCCAGAAUCUGGGGGGACUGACUGGAAUCUAGGCUAGAUCUGCUUUUUGGUUGGUUGGUUUGUUUGCCAUUUCUUGGGCUGCUCCUGUAGCACAUGGAGGUUCCCAGGCUAGGGGUCGAAUCGGAGCUGUAGUCACCGGCCUACGCCAGAGCCACAGCAACGCAGGAUCCGAGCCACAUCGGCGACCUACACCACAGCUCGUGGCAACGCCGGAUCCUUAACCCACUGAGCAAGGCCAGGGAUCAAACCCACAACCUCAUGGUUCCUAGUCGGAUUCAUUAACCACUGAGCCACGAUGGGAGCUCCAAGGCUAGAUCUGCUUUCUAAAGGAGAUGAUAGCUCAGAGGGGCCCUCAAAAACAUAAGCUCUUUAAGCUGCUGAAAUGGGGUCGCACUUAGGUACUGCCCAUCAGAGGAACCUUUUCGGAGGCAAAGGCCAGAGCCAUUGCUCUUGCAAGGACUCCAGCUCCUGUUAGAGGUGGAGACCAGGGAUGGAAGGAGGGUUCGCUCUCCCACAGACACUCCUGCAACCUGCCCAUUCAGGUCCCCUGCGGGGAGGUCCUCUGGGAAGAGCCUAAGUGGUUCCUGUGGCAACCCAGCGGCCAAGGCCACGGGAGGAGGGGAAGGAGUGAGGGUGGAGCUAGGGGGGUUGCCAUGGGAACCCGCUUUGAGGGGCUGCCGCCGUGCUGGGACUAUGAAGGACCUGUGGUUGGCUACCUUUCCUUCUGGGAAGAAGUGGGAGGGGGUAGGGCUGGGUAAAGCCCAGAGGCCUCCAGGCAAGAAGCUCGGGGGAGCUUUGCUUCUCAGGCUGGGGAGGGACAAG